rnacentral:rRNA from 1 species
GACGAACGCUGGCGGCGUGCUUAACACAUGCGAGUCGAACGGACAGGCCCUGCUCUUGUGGGGUGCUCGAGUGGCGAACGGGUGUGUAACACGUGAGUAACCUGCCCUUGUCUUUGGGAUAACUUCAGGAAACUGGGGCUCAUACCGGAUAGGAGCUCCUGCUGCAUGGUGGGGGUUGGAAAGUUUCGGCGGUUGUGGAUGGACUCGCAGCUUAUCGGCUUGUUGGUGGGGUAGUGGCUUACCAAGGCUGUGACGGAUAGCCGGCCUGGGAGGGUGGCCGGGGACAAGACUACUAAGGGACGCCGCAGACGGGAACGGUAGGCAAUGGGGGGAAGCAUGACGGAGCAGGCGGGAGUCAGUGGCGAAGGCGCCGCGAUCGGGAAGACCGGCUACGGGGGAAAAACCGCUGUCUCCGGAGACGAGCAGGUAGUGACGGUAACGGGUAAGGAAGCACCGGCUAACUACGUG